rnacentral:rRNA from 1 species
UACAUAGGGGGCGAGCGUUAUCCGGAAUUAUUGGGCGUAAAGAGUGCGUAGGCGGUUUAUUAAGUCUGGUGUGAAAUCCCAUAGCUUAACUAUGGCGGGUCAUUGGAAACUGGUAAACUUGAGUACAGUAGGGGCAAGUGGAAUUCCAAGUGGAGCGGUGGAAUGCGUAGAUAUUUGGAGGAACACCAGUGGCGAAGGCGGCUUGCUGGGCUGGGACUGACGCUGAGGCACGAAAGCGUAGGGAGCAAAC